rnacentral:lncRNA from 1 species
ACUUUCACAAGUGGAUGCCAAGUUCUUAGGUGUACAUCCGCAUCUAAUCAGAAGUAUAGAGUUUCAGCUGUUGGAGCCAAAUGUGUGAUCCCCCUCCAGAAAAGACUUGAGUCUUUACAGUUGGAAUUUCCGUGUCGUGAGUGACAGGAUCUUGGUCCAUCACCCAGGCUGGAAUACAGUGGUGCAAUUAUAGUUCACUGCGGCCUCAAAUUCCUGCACUCAACAGAUCCUCCCACCUCAGCCUCGCAACUGGCUGGGACUACAGGGAUGCACCACCACACCUGGCUAAUUUUUAACUCUUUCGUAGGAAUGAGGUCUUGCUGUGUUGCCCAGGCUGGUCUCGAACUCUGGGGGUCAAGAGAUCCUCCCAUCUCGGCCUUCCAAAGUGUUGGGAUUACAGGCACGCACCACCACACCUGGCUACAUGCCUAAUUUAACAUGAGCUAGAGUUAGGUUUGGCCAUCCCUAGUGUUCAGUGGAGUUGUAGAGUUAGUCUCAAAUGCCAGAGUGAAAGUCCUUGCCUAUCACUCCCUCAUGGGGAAACCAUGGAAAGGAAUUCAUAGAGUACUUAGAAAGGCAGUAAGUACAGGGACAGAUUUGGGUUUCAUGGGACUUGAAGACUACACAACUUCGGAAGCCCUCUUUAAUGAAAAGAAGAUAAAUCUUACUUUUGCAAGUUUUAUAUGAAUAUGUGACUAUGUGAACACAUUGCUCAGGUCCUCCCCUCGCCCGCACACAAGGUCUAGAAAAAGGCUUAUUAAAGUGAGACAUCCUGAAGCUUAAGCGUCACCAGCUUCAAGUUCAACCCACCUCUGAAUAAAUGCUUCAAAUAAAU